rnacentral:rRNA from 1 species
UUUUUUCCACAACACUUACUCCUUUAGUUUCACAGGGCGUCACUGUUACGUCGGGUAGUCGCUGCCGGAGAUUUCGGGUGAUCUUGUUGGUGGUUACCUGCCUGGGUCUCUCGAAAGAGAGACAGGGCGAAAGGAGAGGUUGGGGUGGCCGGUGGGGGCGGUAGAGGUUCGGUGGGCUUGGCCGCCGGUACAGCUCCAAGACCUCUGGCCCCAGCCUCUUCGGCUCGCGGAGCGAGCAGCUGCUGCUCCUCCCGCCGCAUGAGAAGGAGGGCUGGUUGUGGUUGCGAAGGAGGAGGAGGAGGCCGAAGCCCAUGCGCAGGAACCUCUCCGACUCCGUCGCCGACGGCCACAUGUUCAUGGCGUUCCGGUAGGAGAUGGACCACCUCGCCGUACGGUGCUGGUAGUAGCAGCCGCUCUGCCCAUCGCCGUUCAGGUGCGUCUAGGGAGUCAUAGAGUUCCUCCGACCAACCCGACUCCCGCCAGCUGAAUAUCCAACGUGGGUCGGUUCUUCUAACCGACACGUCUGCCAACGUAGUUCUCAUCGACUUCUUCAACCACACUUUGAACCUCUUCUUCACCCUAUAUGUUAUUCUAAACUCCUACUUUGUUUGGGCCCGUACUGAUACUAGUUUAAAGAGUGUCUACCCCAUGACUAAUCUCUUUACUACCUUCUAGGAGAAGACUCGUUUAUAUCACAGUAAUACUAUCUACUUCGAGUACUUUCUAGGUAAAGUUGGCUGUAUAACGACCCUGAGGACUUUUUCUAAGUUGCGGCAGCCGGUCUCAACGCGGAUUAGUAAAGGAGACGUUGUUAACUUCGUUCUAGUUACAGUUGGAAAAAGUCGUUAUCCGCCUUCUUAAGCAACGAGUUCGGACGACUACCAAACGGUUUAGGUCUUGGACGAUAUGAAAGACAACUUCCAUCUCCUAUGUGUCAUCUUUGAGUAAUAGACCUUCUCGGACAGAGUCUGAUGAAUGUCCGACGACACUUAUGACAAGAAUAAUAAGUGCUUUUCCUUGGUGGUCCCCUAUAAAACCACAAAAAUUGACCGGUCCUACUGUAUCUACGACGAGAAUUCAACGAUUUACUACUUUAAGUUGUAGACCCUUUUGUGAUAAAGCUAAACCACUAAAACGGGAACAUGAGACCGGAAGGUGCCCCUCUGGUUCUAGAGUAGAAACGAGGAUGAAGCUUUCCCUUUUCUUUUCAACACUAUAGUUGUUUGUAACGACUCUGUAGUAACUGAGACCUCCCCCACCACAUGCAACAACUAUCACCUAAAAGGUUCGUCUUCACAAUAUUGGGCUAAAGACUGGAUCUCUCAGAUCAACAGCGUGGUUAUAGCUUUCGAAGACGUUCCGUUGCUCGUCCGUCUCGACCUUCCCAUGCUGGACCCUUUACGAAAUCCGAAAUGUGUCUCCUUAUAAUGGAUUUACUUUACGUCAGUCUACCGUAAGGUCUUUACGUUUCCAGAUUGGAACAAAGGACGUAUUAUGUCAACUUUCGCGAUCCGUAUCUGUUGUAGAACCCUAAACUAACCGGUCGAAGAGGUAGUGGUCUCCGUUACUAGGCCCGAGAGCUUUAAGAUAAAAGUGAUCCUUAGGAACUACUUCUACGGUUUGAUUGUCAAGGGUAACCAAAGGUUCAACGACUCUACGGAGACCUGGGGUACUAGAGUUUUUACUAGAACAGUCGUUUACUAAAACCUACGAGACUACUCUAUAACUGCUAUCGUCGUAAAGAUAGACAAGUCAGACACACCCAAAGAUACGCCCCUCACUUCUUCCUUAAACUACUCCGGUUUGAAGCCAAACGACGACGACUCCCACUAGUACAUUGCAAGGACUUAUAGAUGUUUCCUAAAGUGGUCAGACCUUUUAGAUCAGUCACCACAAUGUUCUUGAAAAACUUAGUGGUUCGUGACUUCUUCCAGUAACUUUAGUCCCGUGUCGAACAGUCCCAAUACUUCUCCAAACCGUAUGUCGACUUUAGAACGCUGUCUCUAUACGUCCGUCAAUCUUUCCGGUAAUAACGACCAAGCAAACGAUUAAGUACAGUAGACCUCCUUAUACCGGUCUUACCUUACAUAUUUUGUUAAUCCUGCAGUGUUCUUCAAAUGUAAGUAGGUAGAAGGCGUGAGAAGUCCAUUCAAAUCGUCCUCAUAAAAAAAUGAUAUAAGCUGUAAAUAAACCCACUGAAACACCGUAUCGAGGAACACGUGAAGAAACCCUUGUUACGAGGAAUACGUGAAGUACUGUAAAGGGACUGCAAAAUCCCAAUUAGGCUUCACCCAGCAGAUGGUCAGAGAACAAAGUUGACUGUUCGUGAUAUACGCAUUACAAUAACGGUAACUUGGUAGUACCGAAUGACUUCGACGUGGUGUAAAGAUGGUCAAGGCUUGUGGGUUAGGUCGAGGCGUGAUUGAAUUGACACACAUGAUUCCAACCGACCCCAGAGUAGUAAAACCAGUCAGGUAAACCCGGUCGGUCAUAUGUCUAGUCAUACCGAACAAGAAUAGUUUAUAAUUGAUGAAACUUCUUUUAGUUAACCUCCGUUUCUUUCUUAGAAGGUAGAACAUCUCCGUGUCCAAAAAGGUUUGAUUGCCUUCGGUGGUACAAACAUAUAUUAAACCUGAAUACCACGAUAGGACAACAAAUCGCGAUCCUCAUAUAAAACACAGGGGUAAUAGAUACGACGUAACGGGUAUGAUCAUAGUUCACGGGAAAUCAAUAUACCCCAAACGCUUCUGAAUAAGGUCUUUUUAGUAAACUUCUAAACUGCUCAUCAUCGACUCAAUGUAAGAUCUAAAAUAACACUUCAAUUAAUUUGAUGUUGUCAUAAAACUAGACUCGGCGUCCUACAUGGCAUCCGUUUACUUUACGAGAACAUAACGCGUAUCGAAGUCAAAUACAAGGAAACUCUGUAGCUUAUCGUCGUCGUCAUCAUAAAUGAAGAAAGUCACAAACACAUUAGGGUCACACUUACGACAGAAUUUAUGAAUACGUGUACCUAGGUCGAAAAAACCAGAAAACCCUGCACG